AGAAGGCAAGAAAAGCAGAAGUCAGAUUCAAACCAAACGACUCGAUCAUCCCCACACAAGAGCCAGCUGAAGUGCCUGUAACUGAACAACCUGCAUGUGCUGAGGAUGUCCCGUCUGCAGAGGACGUCUCCAUUCCACAUGGAUCUUCAGAUGCUUUCCUAACAGGUCUGACACUUCCGGAUGAAGUCAGGUCCGCUUCAGCCGAGCUCCACGCUUUUGAAUCCGCAAGUAAAAGACCCCCGGAGUGUCAUGAUGCUUUCACGAACACAGAACCACGUGAGUUCAAAUUAAUGAUAUUGGAGUUCUUUUACACAGGAGAGAUUCUCGCCAGAACU
rnacentral:lncRNA from 1 species